AAAUGUUAAUAUAAUUGCAGCAUUAAUUAUUAUGAUUAAUAACGUAUAUUCCGAAAAUUUAGCUCUGUCAAUAGAGAGACACUCUGAAAAUAUUGUAGAAGCUAACGUAAUUGAAGUGAACACAGAAGAUCAAUUUAGAAAACAUCGAAUAAAGGAGAUGAGUAACCGUGUGAUAGAUAAAGAUGACUUAUAUUCCUAUAUUAUAAUCAAGGUUGAAGUUAUUCGCAAAAAACAAAUCGAGAAGCAGAGACAAUAUUUUGCAAGAUUUUUCUUCUAAUCGAUGGAUGUAAAAAAAUUGCAGCUUUGCAUACGUGGAAGUACUUUAUAUAAUUUUUUUAUAUUGCAUCUAUUCCUUUUACUGCUUUAAAUAUUGUUUAUUUAGAUGUAUUAUUAUCCGAUGCCUUUUUAUAUGUACAAAAUAUCAUAACUGCAUGCAUCAAGAUUUAUAUGUUUAUGCGAUCUUGUUUGAAGUAGUAGAAUUAUAUAUUAUUGUGCAACCGGCGCGCGGAAAAUCGCCCUUUACG